UGCGCUGGCCCUUAGUCGGGCGUUUCCUCCCUAGACUUCGGGCCGCUCCUUGUGGGCGGCCCUUUUUUUGCUGGGCU
rnacentral:sRNA from 2 species